GACGAACGCUGGCGGCGUGCCUAAUACAUGCAAGUCGAGCGAGCUUGCCUAGAUGAAUUUGGUGCUUGCACCAGAUGAAACUAGAUACAAGCGAGCGGCGGACGGGUGAGUAACACGUGGGUAACCUGCCCAAGAGACUGGGAUAACACCUGGAAACAGAUGCUAAUACCGGAUAACAACACUAGACGCAUGUCUAGAGUUUAAAAGAUGGUUCUGCUAUCACUCUUGGAUGGACCUGCGGUGCAUUAGCUAGUUGGUAAGGUAACGGCUUACCAAGGCAAUGAUGCGUAGCCGAGUUGAGAGACUGAUCGGCCACAUUGGGACUGAGACACGGCCCAAACUCCUACGGGAGGCAGCAGUAGGGAAUCUUCCACAAUGGACGCAAGUCUGAUGGAGCAACGCCGCGUGAGUGAAGAAGGGUUUCGGCUCGUAAAGCUCUGUUGGUAGUGAAGAAAGAUAGAGGUAGUAACUGGCCUUUAUUUGACGGUAAUUACUUAGAAAG
rnacentral:rRNA from 1 species